GCUGCAUCCACAACUCUUCCUCCACCAGCCGCUGUCAUGUUGCUGCGGUCCGUCUUCGUAAAACGACCGGACGGAAACAACCCUCGCUAGGAACGCAAAGGCAAAAUGGGGAAUCCUGAAACAAAGAUCGUCUAUUGAUGCGGGGUUGCAGCUGAUUCACUGGAGGCAGCAAUCAGGAGGGUCGCGGGGGGUGCUGGAGCCUAUCCCAGCUGAAUCGGGCAAAGGCAGGGGACACCCUGGACAGGUUGCCAGUCUGUAGCAGGGCUGAAGUGGAAUCAUGGUUUCCCCAUUCUGUAAAAUCUUCACACCAGUUUCCAGGCCCACAAAAUCCCUGAAAACCUAGAUAAAUAAAUGUAAAA